UACAGAGGGUGCGAGCGUUAAUCGGAAUUACUGGGCGUAAAGCGCACGUAGGCGGUUUCUUAAGUCGGGGGUGAAAUCCUGGAGCUCAACUCCAGAACUGCCUUCGAUACUGAGAGACUUGAGUUCGGGGAGAGGUGAGUGGAACUGCGAGUGUAGAGGUGAAAUUCGUAGAUAUUCGCAAGAACACCAGUGGCGAAGGCGGCUCACUGGCCCGAUACCUGACGCUGAGGUGCGAAAGCGUGGGGAGCAAACAGGG
rnacentral:rRNA from 1 species